UCCUCUUCCGGUGUCUGAGCUGCUGUGGUCCCUACGUGUUGAGUAGGAUGUGUGCAGAGAACGUCAGCGGAGGCUUCCACAGUCCCUGACUACGGCCGGACGGGACCCUGCGGAGGGGUGCUGCCUGUCUCUAAAAAAAGGAUCCUGAGAGAGGAAAGAAUUUUUGUUACACAUCUAAAAGUUAAAGUCCAGCCCUGGCUUCUCUGAACUCUGCUUCUCUAGUAGAGGAAACGUGAGGAGGAUCGGCAGCCCUAAAACCAUGGCCCAGGUAAGUAGAUGCCUCUUUCUCCUUCCUGAAAUAGUAUGAUUUUUAAUUCAUGUAAUAUUUUCAUUCUUUAUCGCUGUCAACACAGAUAAUCAAUAACCAACCUAUAGGUAAGAUUGAUCUUAUUGAUCCAAUGCUGAGGACUAGCCCAGAAGUGCAGUCUCCACCAGGGAAGACAGCACUCCAGAGAAGUGUGGUUUUCAGCAUGGUUAUAUCCCAUUUCAGAACAAAGAACAUACACCAAGCAUGACGGGAAUACAAUUUUUUCCCCAAAGUCACAAGGAGACGUUUUGCUGCAAUUUAGCAGAUACACAACAGGUCAACUUGACCUUGGUUCUCUGGGAAGAAAAGCUGAUCUUCAGAGAAUGACUGAUACUGGUGUCAGAGGAAGGGAGACUUUCACCCCUAUCUUUAAAGAGUGCAUUCUUCGCUUUGGGAAAAAGUUUGAAGCAGAUGUACAGUGCACCUUUGGUGGGCUAUAAGUCAGGCUGCUAUGGGAAAAACAAGUUUUCGGUUGAAUCAGGGUUAAGCCAGAAUGCUUCCCCAAAUACCUCAAUAUGUGAAAACAUUAUUAUUAUUAUUAUUAUUACUAUAAUAUUGUCAUCCCCUAAGCUCCUACCUAGCGAAGCUGUGUCUCUGAACCUAUUUCAGAGUUUCUCCCCUUCCAGAAGGGUGGUGUCCUCCCCAUUUGCUCCCUUGUUUUGAAUGAUUUGCACUUACCCAUCAAUAAUUCAUUCAUCUUCUGUGUAUUCAGUCUCCUGUCCAGACCAGGGCUGGAGCAGUGAAGGAGUGAGGCACUUGGAAGGAAGUGUUUGAGCUUCGCUUGUCAGCUUCGUGGUUUCAUGAUAUGGAGGCGAUGGUCCUGUUUGACCACA